AGGAUGAACGCUGGCGGCGUGCUUAACACAUGCAAGUCGAACGGUGAAGUGAGGAGCUUGCUCCUUGCGGAUCAGUGGCGAACGGGUGAGUAACACGUGAGUAACCUGCCCUUGACUCUGGGAUAAGCGUUGGAAACGACGUCUAAUACCGGAUACGACCUCCGAAGGCAUCUUCUGGAGGUGGAAAGAAUUUCGGUCAAGGAUGGACUCGCGGCCUAUCAGCUAGUUGGUGAGGUAAUGGCCCACCAAGGCGACGACGGGUAGCCGGCCUGAGAGGGUGACCGGCCACACUGGGACUGAGACACGGCCCAGACUCCUACGGGAGGCAGCAGUGGGGAAUAUCGGACAAUGGGCGCAAGCCUGAUCCAGCCAUGCCGCGUGGAUGAUGAAGGCCUUAGGGUUGUAAAGUCCUUUUAACGGGAAGAUAAUGACGGUACCCGUAGAAUAAGCCCGGCUAACUUCGUGCCAGCAGCCGC
rnacentral:rRNA from 1 species